AUUGAACGCUGGCGGCAGGCCUAACACAUGCAAGUCGAACGGUAACAGGGAUCAGCUUGCUGAUUCGCUGACGAGUGGCGGACGGGUGAGUAAUGUCUGGGAAACUGCCUGAUGGAGGGGGAUAACUACUGGAAACGGUAGCUAAUACCGCAUAACGUCGCAAGACCAAAGAGGGGGACCUUCGGGCCUCUUGCCAUCGGAUGUGCCCAGAUGGGAUUAGCUAGUAGGUGGGGUAACGGCUCACCUAGGCGACGAUCCCUAGCUGGUCUGAGAGGAUGACCAGCCACACUGGAACUGAGACACGGUCCAGACUCCUACGGGAGGUAGCAGUGGGGAAUAUUGCACAAUGGGCGCAAGCCUGAUGCAGCCAUGCCGCGUGUAUGAAGAAGGCCUUCGGGUUGUAAAGUACUUUCAGCGGGGAGGAAGGGAGUAAAGUUAAUACCUUUGCUCAUUGACGUUACCCGCAGAAGAAGCACCGGCUAACUCCGUG
rnacentral:rRNA from 1 species